rnacentral:rRNA from 1 species
AGAGUUUGAUCCUGGCUCAGAAUGAACGUUGGCGGCGUGGAUUAGGCAUGCAAGUCGAGCGAGAACCAAGAAAGCUUGCUUUCGAGGGGACAGCGGCGAAAGGGAGAGUAACGCGUGGAUUAUCUGCCUCCAGGUUCGGGAUAGCUGCGGGAAACUGCAGGUAAUACCGAAUAAUAUCUCCGGAUCAAAGGUGUGAUUCCGCCUGGAGAUGAGUCCGCGUCCUAUUAGCUUGUUGGUGGGGUAAUGGCCUACCAAGGCUGCGAUGGGUACCGGGCGUGAGAGCGUGGCCCGGCUCACUGGGACUGAGACACUGCCCAGACACCUACGGGUGGCUGCAGUCGAGAAUCUUCCGCAAUGGACGCAAGUCUGACGGAGCGACGCCGCGUGCGGGAUGAAGGCCUUCGGGUUGUAAACCGCUGUCAGUUGGGAGGAAAUCCAUAGAGGCUAUCCUCUAUGGUUGACCUAUCUUCAGAGGA